rnacentral:rRNA from 1 species
GAUCAUGGCUCAGGAUGAACGCUAGCUACAGGCUUAACACAUGCAAGUCGAGGGGAAACGACAUCGGAAGCUUGCUUUGAUGGGCGUCGACCGGCGCACGGGUGAGUAACGCGUAUCCAACCUGCCCACCACUUGGGAAUAACCUUGCGAAAGUAAGACUAAUACCCAAUGACGUCUCUAGAAGACAUCUGAAAGAGAUUAAAGAUUUAUCGGUGAUGGAUGGGGAUGCGUCUGAUUAGCUUGUUGGCGGGGUAACGGCCCACCAAGGCGACGAUCAGUAGGGGUUCUGAGAGGAAGGUCCCCCACAUUGGAACUGAGACACGGUCCAAACUCCUACGGGAGGCAGCAGUGAGGAAUAUUGGUCAAUGGACGAGAGUCUGAACCAGCCAAGUAGCGUGCAGGAUGACGGCCCUAUGGGUUGUAAACUGCUUUUAUAAGGGAAUAAAGUGAGUCUCGUGAGACUUUUUGCAUGUACCUUAUGAAUAAGGACCGGCUAAUUCCGUG